GGGCGAUUAGCUCAGCUGGCUAGAGCGCUGCCUUCACACGGCAGAGGUCGGCGGUUCAAGUCCGUCAUCGCCCA
rnacentral:tRNA from 1 species